AUUCUAUAUAUAAUUUAGGUAAGACUCCAAAAGAAAAGCUGUCGUGUUUAAUACUGUAGUUCUCGUUUCCGCAGAAAAUGGCAUGCUUUAUAUUCUGAUUUCAAUAAUUCGUAAAUAUGUGAUUACUAGUGCACCAAGACAUGGAAACAGAUUUUUAAAAAAUGCCGAUACGUGCCGACCUAGGUCAGAUUCAGGUCGGCAUUUUUUUGCCGACCUCAAUUUUGAUGGUUUUCGAGGGCUGAAAAUUGCAGACACCAAAUAUAUGAUUUUCCCAGCCCCCCCCUUUUACUUUAUGAUCGGUCCCUUAGGACCCCCCAUUUUUUCUUCUUCUUGAGCUUCACAAAAAGCUUAAAAGGAAUGCAACACAUGCAAUGAUUUUGCUAAGGCAUUUAUAACAUGAUUGCAAUCAUUUCACGCUG